rnacentral:rRNA from 1 species
GACAGAGGUGCCGAGCGUUAGGCGGAAUCACUGGGCUUAAAGCGUGUGUAGGCGGAUCGUUAAGUGCCUUGUGAAAUCCCACGGCUCAACCAUGGAACUGCUUGGCAUACUGGCGGUCUUGAGCCACUUAGGGGCAACCGGAACAAAUGGUGGAGCGGUGAAAUGCGUAGAUAUCAUUUGGAACGCCAAUGGUGAAAACAGGUUGCUGGGAGUGUGCUGACGCUGGAGGACGAAAGCGGGUGGGAGAACGGGAUUAGAACCGUACC